rnacentral:misc_RNA from 1 species
CGCACCUUGCACUCCUUGGUAUUCCGAGGAGUAUGCCUGUUUGAGUGUCAUUAAAUUCUCUCAACUCUAAUUCCUUUCUUUGGUGUUAGACUUGGAUGUGAGGGUUGCUGGGAUUCCUUAUAGGUAUCAGCUCCCUUUAAAUGCAUUAGUAGAACUAUUCUCAUUUGGUGUUUGAUAGUUUAUCAAUGCCAACUGUUUAGAGUCUCAGUCUUCUACUUCUAACUUUGCUCAUUUCUUCUCUGUGAGAAAAUGACCUUGACUAUUUGACCUCAAAUCAGGUAGGACUACCCGCUGAACUUAA